GACGAACCGUGCGAACGUUGUUCGGAAUCACUGGGCGUAAAGGGUGCGUAGGCGGUCUCGCAAGUCUGGCGUGAAAGCCCAAGGCUCAGCCUUGGAAGUGCGCUCGAAACGGCGAGGCUGGAGUGCCGGAGGGGAGAGUGGAAUUCCCGGUGUAGCGGUGAAAUGCGUAGAGAUCGGGAGGAAUACCGGUGGCGAAGGCGGCAUCCUGGACCGGCAUUGACGCUGAGGCGCGAAAGCCAGGGGAGCAAAGCGGG
rnacentral:rRNA from 1 species